rnacentral:rRNA from 1 species
AAUUCGAUUAAUUACUGGGCGUAAAGCGCACGUAGGCGGUGUGUUAAGUUGGAUGUGAAAGCCCCGGGCUCAACCUGGGAAUUGCAUUCAAAACUGGCACGCUAGAGUAUGUGAGAGGGGGGUAGAAUUCCAAGUGUAGCGGUGAAAUGCGUAGAGAUUUGGAGGAAUACCAGUGGCGAAGGCGGCCCCCUGGCACAAUACUGACGCUCAGGUGCGAAAGCGUGGGGAGCAAACAGGAUUAGAUACCCUGGUAGUCCACGCCGUAAACGAUGUCUACUAGCUGUUCGUGGUCUUGUACUGUGAGUAGCGCAGCUAACGCACUAAGUAGACCGCCUGGGGAGUACGGUCGCAAGAUUAAAACUCAAAUGAAUUGACGGGGGCCCGCACAAGCGGUGGAGCAUGUGGUUUAAUUCGACGCAACGCGAAGAACCUUACCUACUCUUGACAUCUAGCGAAGAUUGCAGAGAUGCAGUUGUGCCUUCGGGAACGCUAAGACAGGUGCUGCAUGGCUGUCGUCAGCUCGUGUUGUGAAAUGUUGGGUUAAGUCCCGCAACGAGCGCAACCCUUAUCCUUAGUUGCCAGCACGUUUGGGUGGGAACUCUAGGGAGACUGCCGGUGAUAAACCGGAGGAAGGUGGGGACGACGUCAAGUCAUCAUGGCCCUUACGAGUAGGGCUACACACGUGCUACAAUGGUACGUACAGAGGGAGGCAAGCUGGCGACAGUGAGCGGAUCUCUUAAAGCGUAUCGUAGUCCGGAUCGCAGUCUGCAACUCGACUGCGUGAAGUCGGAAUCGCUAGUAAUCGCAAAUCAGAAUGUUGCGGUGAAUACGUUCCCGGGCCUUGUACACACCGCCCGUCACACCAUGGGAGUGGGUUGCAAAAGAAGUAGGUAGCUUAACCUUCGGGAGGGCGCUUACCACUUUGUGAUUCAUGACUGGGGUGAAGUCGUAACAAGGUA